GCAAACUUGGUCAUUUAGAGGAAGUAAAAGUCGUAACAAGGUUUCCGUAGGUGAACCUGCGGAAGGAUCAUUAAAAGAUUCUAACUGUAGUUUUUAAACCUGUAAAAAGGUUUAAAAACGAAAUUUAUUUUUUUUAAACCUGUCCAAAAAUAUUUAAAUUUUCGAAUGAAAAUUAAAACUUUCAACAACGGAUCUCUUGGUUCUCGCAUCGAUGAAGAACGCAGC
rnacentral:misc_RNA from 1 species